rnacentral:rRNA from 1 species
UCUCGGCAACGGAUAUCUCGGCUCUCGCAUCGAUGAAGAACGUAGCGAAAUGCGAUACUUGGUGUGAAUUGCAGAAUCCCGUGAACCAUCGAGUCUUUGAACGCAAGUUGCGCCCGAAGCCAUCCGGUCGAGGGCACGUCUGCCUGGGCGUCACACGC